GAUGAACGCUGGCGGCGUGCUUAACACAUGCAAGUCGAACGGAAAGGCCCAAGCUUGCUUGGGUACUCGAGUGGCGAACGGGUGAGUAACACGUGGGUGAUCUGCCCUGCACUUCGGGAUAAGCCUGGGAAACUGGGUCUAAUACCGGAUAGGACGAUGGUUUGGAUGCCAUUGUGGAAAGUUUUUUCGGUGUGGGAUGAGCUCGCGGCCUAUCAGCUUGUUGGUGGGGUAAUGGCCUACCAAGGCGUCGACGGGUAGCCGGCCUGAGAGGGUGUACGGCCACAUUGGGAAGGAGAUACGGCCCAGACUCCUACGGGAGGCAGCAGUGGGGAAUAUUGCACAAUGGGCGCAAGCCUGAUGCAGCGACGCCGCGUGGGGGAUGACGGCCUUCGGGUUGUAAACUCCUUUCGCUAGGGACGAAGCGUUUUUGUGACGGUACCUGGAGAAGAAGCACCGGCUAACUACGUG
rnacentral:rRNA from 1 species